UGGCAGUUUCAUGGCCGUCAAACGAAUGCGCGACCAGGGCUGAAACACGACAUCUCUGUCAUAUGUUAUGGCAAGCCGAUAAUAUGUAACAAAGUUGUUGUGCGCUUCACUGACUACAAUAUGAGCGCUGUUGAUCUAGUGCGCUAUGCGUUAGACGGUUGAAACUUAAAUGCCUGACAGAUGAGAUGGCACAAGAUUCCCAUUUGCUGCUGUUGCUGCUCCGGUCACGUCCUAAAACAUUUAGCCUACUAAAUGUUUUGGAGUAUUUUAUGAUGGUAAAAGACUGACUUGCCAUUGAAUAAAAUAUAUUGUAUAUGAA